UCUAUCUCCUAUCGUCAAACUUCUUAUCGUACUCGUCCCGUACCUUUUGUAGCAGAAGCUUUGCUUUACAUGGGAUAGUUUUUUUCAUAGCUAGCUAGUACUUAUUUAUUACUAUUAGAGAAAGGAAGUUGAACUUCCUUCUGUAUAAUAUUCUAUUCCUCGAUGAGAUCGCUCACGCUAAAUUCAUAAUAGGUCAUAUUUAUCCAGGUUUAUUGUGCUUCAGCUUAUUUAUUAUGUAUUUUCAUUAUUUGCGAUGUUCCAUGUGUUUCAUAUUUUUGUAGUUUUUACUUUCUUUGUGAUAUAGGUUCCCUGAAAUCAAAAGUUUUCAAUGACCAUGAUGUGAAAAAUGUAGUUUCUUUUUGCAAGGUUUCAUAAAUGGUUUUUAUGUUGUUUCAGGGCAAUUUGCAAAGGAUCCUUUUAGUCUGUCACAAAAAGGAAGAAAAAGAGAUUAGUAAUUGCUCUUUUGAGAGUUAUAGCUAUGAAAAACUACUCCGGAGUUUUACAAAUAUAUUUAACAUGAUGUGAUAAAUACUAUAAGUACUUAUAUUUAUGCUUGAGAAGAACCAAAGAAUUAAAUUGAAAUUGGUUUUCAUGUAUAAUUUGUAGAAAAUACACUUUGCUGAUAAAUUCUAAACAAAUUAGAUUAUGAUUUAUGGAAUAUAUAUGACGUUCAUGUUUCUUCUUCGAUUUUGAAGAAACAUAUAUCUCAGUUAUUUUCCACGAAUUGAAAAUAUUGAGGGGUCAAUUUUGAUACAUAUGAAAUGAAUCAAAAAUGAUCACUCAAUAGUUUCAAUGAAGAAUAACCUCGUAUUUAAUUUAUGUUUUCUUGGAAUAUUAUGUUAUUUCACCGAACAAUGCUAAUAAUUUGUGUUUUAUAGUAAUACGAGUGAAUAUACAGUUGAAGAGGUACAUGGUUAAUUCUGGAUUGCGUUAUUAGAGAUUUAAUGACACUACAAUAAAUGGUUCAUUGAGUUGUUUAAUGGUAGAAUAAUGCGGUGUUUCCGUCAUUGGUUGAGUCUGACUAAAAACAGAAAUUAUUAUCAAAUGGUUAAGUAGUUUUUGGCAAAAUAUCAAUUGCAUUUAUCUCUUCUGUUAUGUCCUACUUUGUAGCAAGCAUCCUUCAAUAUGAGGAUAUGGUUAAUUGGAAUAUUUUCUAUAUGUUUUCGAUUUACAUAAUUGGGAAGGAUUUCAAACAAAUCCCAUGAUGAAAAAAUAGGCUACAAGUUUAAGUAAUAUUUAACAUUUUUAAUUAUGUUAAUUCAGAUUUUAAAAUCAAUUAUUCAAACUACAAAAACAACAUAUUUUAUCAUAAUAAAAAGUUACGAUAACUCAAUUCUUUAAAACCUAUUGAUCAUCAGGUUCAUAAUAUCAGUUUUUACAGUUAGUAAAAUCAGGAAAGUAAUAUCCAUAUUAAAUAUUUGUCUACAUUGGUGGAUAUGGUUCAAUCUUAUCCGUAGUACCUACUAAUAAAUUUCUAAAAUUUAGUCUUUGUAGGUCUGUGAUGCACUUUUAUGUGUUGAUUUAGGAUCUUUAUUACUCAAAAAGAUUCAAAGUUUUAUUAUAUGAUGUAAAAUACUGUCAUAUUCAGAUGUUAUAGACAACUUGAUAUCAGUCAUUCUUUUAUGGAGCUAUACAAAAUAUUAUUUGGAAGGAUCUUAAAGGAUCCGUAAAGAAUUAAAGGCCCCAUAUAAAAAUACAAUAUGGUGGGGCGAGUGCUAAAUUAUCGUAACUCAAAUAUUUGCUUAACAGAAUUAAGCCAGGAAACUCCAUUCUUUAAUUAUGAAUAACAGUGUUGUUGUUGUUGUUGUUUUGUAAUAAAAUGGAUUCAAGAAACAAGCUGAAUUUCUCUUUUUUUCAAUAUUAGACUUCUUGGACGGCAUAUAGGCAAUAACACAAAUAUAUGUAAUUUUUGAGUUAUGACAAUUUGGCACUCAACCCAAUAUAUGAUAUUGUAACAACUCCUGUGCAAAAAAAAAAUCAAUUCUAAAAAAGAUACUUAUUUCUGGUAUACAAGCAAAUUUUUUGGAUUAAAAUCUUACAGGGGGAAAAGGGAUGAUAUUUGAAAAAUAAAAAGCUUAGUUAUGGGUAUCUAGUGGUUCGUCAAUGACUCGAAAAGAGUUAAGAUUAAUAAUUUCAAUGCGUUACAUAUAAUAAAGUUUAUUUCAUUGUCACUAAUAAAUUUAUAAUUGUAGACGAUAUAACUAUUUCACUCGACAUGGAUUUUUAUUAAA
rnacentral:lncRNA from 1 species